GUGCCAGAGACAAGCUUUGGGA
rnacentral:miRNA from 1 species